UAUUUCUGCCAACUCUAUCAGUCUAUUGUGUCAAACUCAAGAUUUUCUUCAGUGUUUUCUUUGAUUUUUUGUAAGAAAUUCACCGGCUCUUCAGAGAGAUGAAGAUAUGUUCUACCAACUCUAUCAACAACCGCCUGGAUUUUCGGCUAAAAAUCUGGUGUCUUCGGUCGUUGAAGAUAUAAGCUCAAUAGAUAAAAACCAAAAAUUCCAGUCCUUUUGCUAUCGCUGAAGAGAGAAGCAGCUGCUCAUCACAAAUUCUCUCCACUAUAAGGAAAGUGAUUUGCACACGAGAAGAACUUGGCAUACAAAGUUUGUUGAUAAGAUUUUGGAAGGCAGCGAAACCAAUUAGUUUGGAAGUUUCAUAGGCAAUUGCAAAGUCGGAAUAGGCCCUAUGCAAGUACUAGCUAACCUGAAGGUUGCUUACUAGGGAGAUCAAUGCAUAGACUAAGGGAGUGGCAACAAAAAUUGAAUGCAAGAGAAGAGAUUGUCACAUGGACUUAGGGUCUUUCGAAAAGAACUAAAUUCAACAAAGACAAAUAAAUACAUUUUUAUUAUAUAGAAUAUUAACUUAUUUUCCUAUAAUAGCAUAUUAAGAAUACAAACACAUGAUCUCUUUUGUGGUUACAAUAUGUGUUUGCCCUUUAUAGGAGUUUUUUUUUGUACUUCAUAUCUACUAACUUUUGUAAUGUUAUUCAUGUGUAAGAAUUUAAAUGUGCACUUGUUUAAGG